rnacentral:rRNA from 1 species
CCUACGGGUGGCAGCAGUGAGGAAUAUUGGUCAAUGGACGAGAGUCUGAACCAGCCAAGUAGCGUGAAGGAUGACUGCCCUCUGGGUUGUAAACUUCUUUUAUAUGGGAAUAAAUUGUUCCACGUGUGGCAUUUUGUAUGUACCAUAUGAAUAAGGAUCGGAUAACUCCGUGCCAGCAGCCGCGGUAAUACGGAGGAUCCGAGCGUUAUCCGGAUUUAUUGGGUUUAAAGGGAGCGUAGGUGGAUUGUUAAGUCAGUUGUGAAAGUUUGCGGCUCAACCGUAAAAUUGCAGUUAAAACUGGCAGUCUUGAGUACAGUAGAGGUGGGCGGAAUUCGUGGUGUAGCGGUGAAAUGCUAAGAUAUCACGAAGAACUCCGAUUGCGAAGGCAGCUCACUGGACUGCAACUGACACUGGGGCUCGAAAGUGUGGGUAUCAAACAGGAUUAGAUACCCCAGUAGU